AGGUGAACAUCUGGAAUGGCCCUGGACUCCUGGACAAUACCUUAUAUACCUGGGAGGCAGAGUCAAGCUUACCAAGAAGCAGGUUGUGGUCUACUUUGUCGAAUGCCUUGCUGAAGUGGACCGAGGUCCAGAAUUCCAUUUAAUGUGCAGUUCUGACUGAUCUCCGAUUCGGUGCAGAAGCAAAUAUUGUCAGGAUUGUUAACGGGUGAUGCAAAAGUCGACGGAGGGAUAACGAAGUGAUAAAGUGGAAUGCCUUUCACUGUCUUCUCUCUAUCAAAUGUGGCAGAGAAUGACCUGUAUCGUAAAAAUAAUAUGAAUCGUGAUCAUACGCUAUGAUAAAAAAAGAACCAUCAGUCUUGUCUAUGGAAUUUUCAGCUCUCCAGGUCAUUGUUGUCCCAAAGGUGUUUUGUUUAAA